UAGAAACUGUAUGAAGAGAGGAGUGUGAGAGGAAAAUGCAAUUUUUCGGGAUUGGGUUCACGCAGAGGGAAACAUUGAAUGAAUAAUUGGUUGAAACGGGCAAAACGGAGACAGAUUAGCCUCGUUUUGCAAACAGAAAGAAUGAAGAAAAAGUAAGGUUAAAAUUAGUUCCAAGUCCAUAAUUAAAAAUCAAUAAACAAAGUGUGGCAAGUCGAACAA
ensembl:ncRNA C56E6.15 ncRNA